rnacentral:lncRNA from 1 species
AUUACUAGGACAAUAGACAUAUCAAGUGUAGAUCGUUGUGUGCCAUAUAGGUUGGUUGUUCUCUUAACCAAAGAUCAUGGAGAUACUGGUAUGGCAUGCAGGUGAAAUAUAGGAGUAUAUUUUACUGAAUGUGACCAACUCUGAAGUACUCUACUGUUAAGAGUUCUCCGAAAGGAUAUGGGUAUAAGUAUCCCUCCGACCU